UGCGAGUCGAGCGGAUCGAUGGGAGCUUGCUCCCUGAGAUCAGCGGCGGACGGGUGAGUAACACGUGGGUAACCUGCCUGUAAGACUGGGAUAACUCCGGGAAACCGGGGCUAAUACCGGAUAACACCUACCCCCGCAUGGGGGAAGGUUGAAAGGUGGCUUCGGCUAUCACUUACAGAUGGACCCGCGGCGCAUUAGCUAGUUGGUGAGGUAAUGGCUCACCAAGGCGACGAUGCGUAGCCGACCUGAGAGGGUGAUCGGCCACACUGGGACUGAGACACGGCCCAGACUCCUACGGGAGGCAGCAGUAGGGAAUCUUCCGCAAUGGACGAAAGUCUGACGGAGCAACGCCGCGUGAGUGAAGAAGGUUUUCGGAUCGUAAAACUCUGUUGUUAGGGAAGAACAAGUGCCGUUCGAAUAGGGCGGCGCCUUGACGGUACCUAACCAGAAAAGCCACGGGCUAACUACGUGCCAGCAGCCGCGGUAAUACGUAGGUGGCAAGCGUUGUCCGGGAAUUAUUGGGCGUAAAGCGCGCGCAGGUGGUUUCUUAAGUCUGAUGUGAAAGCCCACGGCUCAACCGUGGAGGGUCAUUGGAAACUGGGGAACUUGAGUGCAGAAGAGGAAAGUGGAAUUCCAAGUGUAGCGGUGAAAUGCGUAGAUAUUUGGAGGAACACCAGUGGCGAAGGCGACUUUCUGGUCUGUAACUGACACUGAGGCGCGAAAGCGUGGGGGAGCAAACAGGAUUAGAUACCCUGGUAGUCCACGCCGUAAACGAUGAGUGCUAAGUGUUAGAGGGUUUCCGCCCUUUAGUGCUGCAGCUAACGCAUUAAGCACUCCGCCUGGGGAGUACGGUCGCAAGACUGAAACUCAAAGGAAUUGACGGGGGCCCGCACAAGCGGUGGAGCAUGUGGUUUAAUUUCGAAGCAACGCGAAAGAACCUUACCAAGGUCUUUGACAUCCUCUGACAACCCUAGAGAUAGGGCUUUUCCCCUUUCGGGGGACAGAGUGACAGGUGGUGCAUGGUUGUCGUCAGCUCGUGUCGUGAGAUGUUGGGUUAAGUCCCGCAACGAGCGCAACCCUUGAUCUUAGUUGCCAGCAUUCAGUUGGGCACUCUAAGAUGACUGCCGGUGACAAACCGGAGGAAGGUGGGGAUGACGUCAAAUCAUCAUGCCCCUUAUGACCUGGGCUACACACGUGCUACAAUGGACGGUACAAAGGGCUGCAAGACCGCGAGGUUUAGCCAAUCCCAUAAAACCGUUCUCAGUUCGGAUUGUAGGCUGCAACUCGCCUACAUGAAGCUGGAAUCGCUAGUAAUCGCGGAUCAGCAUGCCGCGGUGAAUACGUUCCCGGGCCUUGUACACACCGCCCGUCACACCACGAGAGUUUGUAUCUCCCGAAGUCGGUGAGGUAACCUCUCGA
rnacentral:rRNA from 1 species